GAUGAACGCUGGCGGCGUGCCUAAUACAUGCAAGUCGAGCGAACAGACGAGGAGCUUGCUCCUCUGACGGUAGCGGCGGACGGGUGAGUAACACGUGGAUAACCUAUCUAUAAGACUGGGAUAACUUCGGGAAACCGGAGCUAAUACCGGAUAAUAUAUUGAACCGCAUGGUUCAAUAGUGAAAGACGGUUUUGCUGUCACUUAUAGAUGGAUCCGCGCCGCAUUAGCUAGUUGGUAAGGUAACGGCUUACCAAGGCAACGAUGCGUAGCCGACCUGAGAGGGUGAUCGGCCACACUGGAACUGAGACACGGUCCAGACUCCUACGGGAGGCAGCAGUAGGGAAUCUUCCGCAAUGGGCGAAAGCUUGACGGAGCAACGCCGCGUGAGUGAUGAAGGUCUUCGGAUCGUAAAACUCUGUUAUUAGGGAAGAACAAAUGUGUAAGUAACUAUGCACGUCUUGACGGUACCUAAUCAGAAAGCCACGGCUAACUACGUG
rnacentral:rRNA from 1 species